GCCUCCUCGGAGCUGAUAUUUUGGGAUCAGCCUACGCUGAAGGUACAGCUGACUACAGUGCUGCUCACAAAGUGGCUCCCAUCCGAAUUGCCAGAUCUGCAACUAAAUUUCUUCGUAGGCUUAGGUGUGGACCUCGAAUUACAAGAAGCAUGUAUUAUUUAAUUUCAUGCCGUUGAUUCGAAAUUAAAAAAAAUGC